UCCCGUCAAUGCCGCUGCGCAUUCUGUCACAGACGCUAUAAUGACACAGAUACAAAGAUGAGUCCUCUAUCUAUCUCUAUGGCCGCGCACCAUUGUUAAGAAUCUGUGCUGUGAAGACGAUGCUUUUUGUCUCCGUUUCUAAUUAUUACCACAGGACGACUAGAAUUAAGUCUGAGGCCGGUAACAUCUCUUAGUGAGGACAAACCUAGCCGACCUCUCUCAUUCCAGACUAUGUCCAAACCUACAUUCAUUCACUGGGUCCUGAUUGUGACAGUGGGGCCCAGUUUGCACUGCAGGGUCCAGAGAUGGCAUCAGUGAAGCUGGAAGACUGCAGUCAAACACUGGAGCUGAAUGUCAUCAUUAAAGAUGAAGAAGUGGAGGAGAAGAUUGGGAAAUUUGUUUCUCAUGGAAACCAUGUUGACACAUUCUCUACAUCCAGAGAGCAACAGCAGGAAGGUCACAGAGCUAAGAGGUCUCAUCACUGCCCACAUUGUCAAGAGAUUUUCCCAUUUCUAUCAAAGCUAAAAAUACACCAAAAAAUAUACACAGGAGAGAAUCUGUAUUCCUGUACUGACUGUGGGAAGAAUUUCACAACAUUAAAGGUUCUGAUCGUUCAUCAGAGAGUGCAUGAACGGAUACACACAGGAGAGAAGCCUUACUCCUGCUCUGACUGUGGAAAGAGUUUUUCUCGACUGGGCACCUUAAAAAGACACCAAGGUAAUCAUAAAGGACCACUGAUCUGACUGUGGAAAAUGUUUUAAAACAACAGAUGAGCUAAAAUGUCCUCAGAGAACACUGUCGUGUCUUUGGCAUCAUUAAACUGAAGAUUAAUCUUUAUUAAAUGACUCUCUGUAAUUAUUAUUACGCGAUUAAACUGAUUAAUCAUGUAACUGUAAUUAACUAGGAAGUCGGGGCACCAAGGAAAAUAUUCAGAUUACAAAGUUAGAAUUUUCCUAAUAUAACUUUUCAGAUAUUUUCAUAUCUGCUCAAUAGUCUUCUGAUUAAUUAAUUCUUCUUUAUUUUACCUCACGUUAGUCUCAUUCCAAACGUCGUAAAUUGUUGGUUAUCUGCACGAACCCAGUCUUCACUAUUAGUCAUCCAUACAUCAAUUGUCUUAAAUCAUUUUUUUAUUUAUUUUUUAUUUAUUUUUUCUCGGGGGGUGGAUCAGCUUAAUAUUGCGGAAAGAAUGUUGCUUCCAAUGUAAUUGUCUGCAUCAUUUCCAAUACCCCAUAUUUUUGGGGGUAAAUAUAUAUAUAUCCUUUCACGUAUGCAUACAUAUACACAUAUAUACAUAGACAUACAUACUUUUUUAAAGAGUAUACCUUUAUUAUUAUUCCCAGCAAACCCUACCACCGAUCCCCCAAUUGGAGUAAACUGAUAAACAUUUCUGUUUUUACCUUCAAUUUAUACAUCUUAUACACAUUUUACAGACACAGUCUACUUUAUAAUAGUUCUCUCUUGUUUGUUCUUAGUCCUUCCUCUAUUUCUGUUGUCCAUCCAGUUUGAUUUCCACUUGUAACUGUGCUAUUUCACAAUAGCUCCGCACCUAUACACAUUUCACAGAUCCCGUAUGCCCUACAUUGUUUAUCUUGUUAUUAGUCCCACCCUUCAGCUCCACUCAACCUUUCCCAUCUAUCUUCCAACAUCAUCCAUUUCGGAUUUUUAUUUGCCAUAUAUUUUUCAACUGUGCUGUGAUGCUUCACAAAAGAUUUGAAUCUUCCUAUUCUCAUAGCUUCCACGGAUUGUAAAUUAAAAAUAAACAUUUUUGCUAAAAUAAUUAUUAUAUUAUUGAUUGAUUGACUAUGGCUUUUCAAAUCCCCCAGUAUUGCUAUCUGUAGCGUUAGUUCUACGCAAAUGUUGCAAUUCUUCAACCAUUCCUGGACCUGUGACCAAAAACGAGCUACAUGCGGACAAUACCAAAAUAAAUGGUCUAAUGACUCUGCCUCCUCACAGCAGAAUCUACAGAGCUGAGAAGAUUGUAUCCCCCAUAUAUAUAACAUUCUAUUAGUUGCAAGAAUUUUGUACAAUAAUUUAAAUUGAAAAAUUCGAAGUUUUGAAUCCGGCGUUAUUUUGCGUAUCAAUUCAUAAACCAUGUGCCAUGGAAUGGGUACAUAGAAAAUCUCUGCCCAACUAUUUUGCAAUUUAUAUGGCACAGCUGUAAGUUUUUUGGUCCUUAAAUGAAAUUGGUAUAUGUUUUUAUUUAUCACACUUUUCUUUAACCAUUUAUGUUCUUUAAUAUAAGGCCGACAUACAAGUUCCUUACUUUUAUCCCCUUCCACCUGCCUCUUCCAUUUUUGUGGUAAUGCUGCAAUUAAUUGGUUGUAAUUGUGGGUAGAGCAGACAUUUCCAUAUGUCUGUGUUAGCUGCAUGUGUGACAUUACUCCACCAGUCCUAUUUAUGAUAUCAUUCACAAAAAUUAUACCUUUUUUAAACAUUUCUUCGAUAAAUACAGUUUUUUUAUCAAUUACUAUAUUUGAAUUUAACCACAAGAUUUGUUGUACUAUUUGUUCCGUCCUUUCAGGUGGAUUAAAAUCAUUUAUUUACUAACUAAGUAAUUCACAGAAAUGCAUAAAGAAACAGUAGAUAGUUACAAGGAAAUGAUAACGGAGUUUCCCUAGUGGGAUAAACCGGCAUCGCGGCUUGUUGUACAAAAGGGAAGUGGGGGUCGACUGAGAUAAGACAACACACAGUUGAUAAUUAUAAUAAUUGAAAUGCUAAUCCUUUGCACAUGAACGCUCACUCAUUCGGGAAUAAUUGCAAUCAAUAUACAUAUUUACGCUCAGUGUGUUGUCGGGAUCUCUGUUGAAAAGUUUGUUUCUGUUGGAGAGUCUGUCCGCCCUCUCUGUCGUGGUUAGAAUGGAUAGUUCAGAGGGACAUUCAUUCAUGUCGUUAUGGAUAGAUGUUUCAGCGGUUGUCGGUCUUUGUGUUCAAUGAUACCGAAUUCCUAGCUGCAGACUAGUAAUUAAUAUCAAAGACCUGUUCUUAUUCUGUCGGUAUCGAUAGUUUAAGAGUUUAACCACGUGGUAUGGUUAAAAGAUUCAGCCAUCUACUCAAACCUUGGCCCUCUCGUUAUCGAGGUAAGCUGGUCUGCAACCUUUGUCCUCUCGUGAUUGAGAGAAACAUGGUCUGGUGAGAAAUUCUCACGGUGGGGGUUUUAUUCGGGAGUUGCAGAAAAGGGCCUAUCCCAGGAUGCCUGACCCAAACUGGUCUCAUGGGCGGUCCUCUGCUUUAGUUAAACUCAAAAGGGAAUUGGAGUUUCCUUCAUUAAACAGUCCAAAAUCACAUUACACAAUUUUACAAACAGUAUCAUCCUCACUCAUUCAUCUUAUACAACAAUUAGAUGUAAACCUCAUAUCUGAGGCUAUUAUAUAAACAGCGUUAUGGUAAUGUGGCCGCACCGUCUCCCAUGACCUUCCCCAAGUUGUAACAAACGGACCAGUUCGUAGCUGGAUUCUUCACCGAUCUUUUAUACCUUCUCCAGAACACAUUUGUUGUUCGGACCUCAAGUUCUGUGAGGUGGAAGAAAUUCCUUUGUUCUCUAUGAAAACUCCCUCUCUAUACUGUGGCCAUGAGGAGAUAAUCUCCUCCAGGAAUUUACGACCUCUCUCUGACCACAGCAGCCUAGUUGUAGGGGGCAGGGAGAGGGGGAUGGGGCUUGCUGUACCCAAAGAGGGCAAAGUCAUGACAACACACAUAGGAGAGAAGCCUUAUCCCUGCUCUGACUGUGAGAAGAGAUUCUACAGAUUGGGCCAUUUAAAGACACCAAUGUAUACAUAAAGGAGAGAAGCCUCAUCAGUUGUCCUAGACCAGCUGAGAUAAGACACUCCACUUCAUUAUCUCAUAAAAUAAUUGGCAACGUUGAAUUGGAUCAAAUUAAGAAAGUGUAGAACACUCUAUUGUAAUCCUAUAGUUUCUCACUGUAAGAGAACUGUGCAGAGGAAAGAGAGCGUUAUAGAAUGUUAGCCUCUCUUUACUGAUCAUUGUGCACCUUGUCAGUUUUGGUGUGUUUUGUUAGCUUCUACUGUAAAGAUAUUGAGUUGACCUUGGAUUUGCCCUAAAGGUUGAAUAUCCUCUGUGAGACGUCUCACAAUGGAGUCUGAUGGUUGACUGGAUGGUACUGCUUCCCUCUGCAGUUUCCCGUGGGAAUGAGCUGGUAGGACACCUGCUCUUUCCAUGACAUAGACUGACCAGGUGAACCCAGGUGAAAACUAUAAUCCUUAAUGUAGUUUUUAUUAUGGAUUCAUUAUGGAUCCCCAUUAGCUUUCAGCAGAAAACAAGACUGCAGUUGCAGUGGGCUAAGAAAUGGAAAGACUGGACCCUGGAGAAUGAAUUUGAACAACAUUUCCUGGUCUGAUGAAUCCCUGUUCCUGCUGUUUCAUGCUGAUGGGAGGACUAGGGUAUGGAGGAAACCAUGAGUACAUGUAUCCAUGCUGUUUGUCAUCAUUACAGGCUGGUGGAGAUGGUGUGGAGUGUUUUCAUGGCACAUAUUGGGCCCCUUGAUAAAAGUGGAGCAACGUUUGAAUACCACAGGAUAUCUAAACAUCAUUGCCAACCAGGUGCAUCCCUUCAUGGCAGCAGUGUAUCCAUCUGCACAUAGAUUUUUUCAGCAGGAUUAUGCCACACGGCUUGUCCAGGAAUGGUUCCAAGAACAUGACAGUGAAUUCAGCUUACUGCAGUGGCCUGCCGAGUCACCAGAUCUCAAUCCAAUUGUUCGUCUGUGGCAGGAGCUAUUCGGAGUAAUAUACUUUCCAAAAUAAUAACUACAUGGCCAGGACAUAUACCACAAAUGUUGUUUUACAGGAAAUUCAACCCCUGACAUACAUUUUCUUUCCGGUAUGAGGGUGAAGGAAGAAAUCCCCCUUGGUCAUUGUAUUACAGUUCUCACAAUGAUCUGGGGGGAGGGUGGAUAGGAAAUGCUGUUUUCAGUUUUCUGUGAGAAUGAGCUGGUAGACACUACAUGUAUCAGAGAUGGUGUGAUGAUCAGUUUUCACCACUAGUUUGGGUAGAUACAUAUUUUACUACGCAAUUUUACUAUUGAUGCACAGGCUAUGAAAUGACUACAUGUUUAUUAAAUUGUAUUUUAUUAUGAAUGUCAUUGAAUUACUCCAUUGAUCUGACAAUAUAAAAUAAAGUUAGACUUGAAUGAAUUUGUGCUGCUCAAUCUCUUCUCUAUCAUUAAAUACUAAAAAUGGGUUGAAGCUAAAUAAUUCCUGUUUGUAUGAAGCUGAAACGAACAGGAAAUGUAAAUGAGCAUUACAUUUGACCUCAGCACUGACAUGGUUUUUCAUCAGCUUUGAGACCAGAUACAGUACUGCAGCUUUAUUGAUCUACUGAAUGUCUUUGUUUAAUUCAUGGAAUUCUAAAGAAUAUAUGUUUCUAUUUAUCUACUCAAAACAUGUCACUCUACACAUCACCAUGGUGACAAGCCCAUUCAUUAGCCACCAGUAAUGUCUACAAUGCAUACAAAUAGAUGUUAAUCAGUAUAAAGUGCUUGUUUUAUAAAGGUAUCAAAGCCCAGAAACAGCAUUACCCCUGCAAUUCAAUGACCCAGUUACCAUUGGAUAAUGGAACCAGAGGAAGCUUGUGUUACCUUUCUCUACACCAUUACAGAAUUAAUUUCAACAGACCUUUUCCACGCCCCUUUGUUAGAGCUCAAUAUAUACCCAAGACUAUAUAGAGGGUCAGACUGUUGUAAUGCCCAGUUGAUUAUGUAAAUAGUCUUGAAGACUUUAAUUUAGAUUUGUUUAUUUCACAUCCAUUAAGUAGAUACUAAAUAACCUCACUCUUUUUUCAGCUUUUAAAAUGUUUUAUUUUCAUUUUCUAAAGCCUUCUCACACCCAGACUUUUGACAUUCUUCUAUGUAUUAUACUUCCAAAAGUCUUUCAAAAUAUUUAAUGCACCAGUUUAAAAAAGUGUCAUGACUAUCAUUACCAAAUAGUCAAUAAUUUCAUCAAAUUGUCAAAUUAUUAUUAUGUGAACUUUAUUUGAACUUACGAUACACAGAAUCAUCUAGAAUGUCAGCCUAAAAUCUUCGGGCAUGGACUGUCCAAGGUGUUGAGAGCGUUCGACAGGGAUGCUGGUCCAUGUUGACUCCAAUGCUUCCUACAAUUGUGUCAAGUUGGCUGGGAGUGGAUCUACUCCGAAUAGCUUGUUCCAUCUCCUCCCACAGAUGUACAAUUACAGGGAAUUCAGUGAGCUGAAUUCACUGUAAGGUUCUUGGAACCAUUCCUGGACAAGCCUUGUGGCAUAAUCCUGCUGAAAAAAAUAAUUUGCAGAUGGAUACACUGCCAC